AUCUAUCAAAGAUGAUAGAUUCUAUCUAGAUCCACACUCUACCCCUACCAUGAACCUACUACAGCCAACAUGAACCGCAAGGAGCCAUAUGACUAAGAGACCAAGUGUAUGUGCAGUCAAACUAUAACAAUCUCAUUGUGAAUAGUUGAGAUACCGCAGAUCAAACGACUAGUCAUACUACUGUAGCUCGAGUAAGUGGCUGACAAGUGAGAACACAUCCAAGUGAUACUUGUUGUAUUGGUCAUACUCGGUAUCUUUAUUCUCUAACAACCAUCUGUAUUCUUGCUUUAGUGUCUCUACACUAUAGACUUGAGACUCAUCUAUCCUAAAAGAAAAGUGAUCAUACACCAAUCUAUCUGGAUCAAUCACUAUCUCCAUGAUGAUCCA
rnacentral:lncRNA from 1 species